UACUGUGUAGAAGCGACAAAAGGCAGGCAUCUUCAUUUUGUUUUGGAUUGCAGGGGAAAAGCUUUCUGUCUUUCACCAUUGAACGACAUUAGGACUCCUCUGAGCCUCCAACACGCUAAUCUGGGCCACGACCCUCUGAGGGGAGGAAUGAGACAAGGAAACUCGUUUGGUCUCAGAGCUCUUUAUAGGGAAGCAUCUCAAGAGACACUUGCAAGCAAACAUUCACUGAACACUAUCUUCUAAGAACGCGGCUAAACCCUUGAGGUAGGUUAUUCCCUUUAAUUCUCAUAAGAAUUUUAAGAAGUAGGCACUAUUCCUGUAUGAACCCAAUUUUCAGAUCAGAAACUGAGACUCAGAAGUAAAAUGGUAAAUGGCAAAUCCAGGUGGACUCAAGUGGAGUUUCUGACAUUGGAGUCCAUCCGCUUAACAACUACACUCUUUUACCGUCCUUACAUUUGCCCCCCCACCGAAACUACCUGCUCGUGCAAGUCUCUGCCUAGUACUCACUGCCUUGAGGAAGUAUGCCUCAGUAGCCUUGCCCCAUGCCCUCAGGUAUGACUCUGUGACCCAAACCUGGCCAUCUGUAACCUUCCCCUUGGUAAAUUAGACUGCCAAUUUGGUUGCCAAGCCCAGGACCCAUCCCCUCUUCUGAUAAUUGUGUCUAGAUUUAUUUGGGGGCAACACCGAGGACCUCAGUAAAAGGGGCUUCGAUGAAGAUGCCCCCCCCCCCCCCGCCCGCCCCUGCCCGACCAUCUCCAGAGGGAGCCAUGUGAUUCAGGCCUGGCCACUCAAGCACCAAAAUAUCUUGGCUUCAGUGAUUGGCUCAAGAAGGACAGAUGACCCAAACGAGGUCAACAGGGCUAAUCCCCGGAGUUCGCUGGAGUCACCAGUUUUCUGCUCUGGAAUUGCUAGUGGGUGCAUGUCUGGCAGGAUCUGCCAGGAAUGCUGCUUAAGGAGGUGAUGCCUGAGAAGGGAGCUGACACAGGAGAGCAGACCUGAUGACAUUGUUCGAACUGUGCCAAAGACAGGUCCACCCCUGGACUUUUCAGUGAUCAUGAGCCAAUAAAUUACUUUUGUGUUGUUCUUGUCUUAAGCAAGUAUGAGUUGGGUUCCUUCCUUUGAAACGGAGAUCUAGCAAAGCCUCCCCACCAUUCUUAAUCAUUAUUAACAACUGUGUCUCCUUCUUGCCUUUUCCUGCUAUGCUUAUUUAGACAUACUGGACAUUUUUUAAAUAAAAAUUGACACCGCUGGCUACUCCUUCCUUUGAGAUAUACUCUUUUGCUUAUUUUUGUGAAACCUCACUCUCUUAGUUUCUCUCGGGCCCCUCUGAAGUCCUGUUCGGUUCAUUUUCCUUUUGCUGGCUCCUCUUCAUUUGCAAGUAACAGAAACCAACCCUGGCAUUUAUAAGCCAAAAACUAGGGAAAAAAAAAAAGAAUUUAUCGGAAAAAUAUUGAGGAACUAGCUAGGGAAUGAACUAGAAGGCUAGAAUACCUCGCUUGGAAAUGGAACAGAAAUUACUUGGCUGAACUCCAAAGGCCUCUUCCACGCUAGCGUCAGGUGUUCACGAUGCCCAGUCCCGAGAGAGAAUCUGUCCAGCUGAGCUUAGGUCACAUGGCCGCCUAGACUCUGGACCA